GGGUGUGUAGCUCAGUGAUAGAGGGUGUGCUUAGCAUGCACAAAGCCCUGGGAUCAAUCCCCCAGUACCUCCA
rnacentral:tRNA from 1 species